rnacentral:rRNA from 1 species
UACGGGGGGAGCAAGCGUUGUUCGGAUUUACUGGGCGUAAAGGGCGCGUAGGCGGCCACCGCAAGUCGACUGUGAAAUCUCCGGGCUUAACCCGGAAAGGUCAGCCGAUACUGCGGGGCUAGAGUGCAGAAGGGGCAACUGGAAUUCUCGGUGUAGCGGUGAAAUGCGUAGAUAUCGGGAGGAACACCAGUGGCGAAGGCGACUUCCUGGCCCGUUCUCGACGCUGAGGCGCGAAAGCGUGGGGAGCGAACGGG